rfam:Gasterosteus aculeatus cont1.006159, whole genome shotgun sequence.
GCCGAAAUAGCUCCGUUGGGAGAGCGUCAGACUGAAGAUCUGAAGGUCCCUGGUUCAAUCCUGGGUUUCGGCC